CCCAAGCCCUCUAGCUACCCCACCUGUUGGUGGAUUCCCUUCCUCACCCCAGAACCAAAUCCGGAGCGCUCAUGUUCCUUCUGCCGGGUCCCAGGGCCCUAAAAAGUAGGUUUCCCUACAGCUCCCCACCCCUCCCUCUGGCUGAGGUUGUGCGCAGGCCUGGGAGGAGGAGGUUCAAGCCGCUGGAUGGUGGCCGGCUUCAGCCCACCAAGAAAGGCGACUCCAGGGACGAGAGCACCUGAGGUCAGGGGCACACACCAGCGGGCGGACAAGUGUAGAGUUGGCGCCGCCCUACACCUCUCUCUGGGAAGUGAGGGGAGGAAAGGCCGUCACCUGGCCGGUUCCCCUGCGUCUGCCCCAGGCGUAUAAGAAGCAGGAGUCUGGAGCCCCAGCCCCUGAGGAAAGGAGAGGAGAGACAAUUGGGGGCGCUCAAGGCCUCGGGCGCCGGGCAGGGGUCUUGGGCAGGGAUCCUCUGGAUACGGCCAAGACAAAGAUGGAGAGAGCCCAGAAGGAUGCCUGGCAAAAAGUUCGUGUUCAGUAAAUUGUUGUUGAUUGAACACCAGCCUUAGGAAGGACAUAAGUAUCCUUUGCAUCCUCUCCCCAUCUUACAGAUAAAGAACUGAGGCUUACGAAGGGGGGACUUACUCAAGGUCACACCAAGGAAGAUGGCUGAGAAAGGAUGUCCCAGUGGAAAGGUGAAGUGGAGGAGGCUGAGCGUCCAAGGAUCCUAAAGCCAGAUAGGAGGCCAUGGCUGUGGGAGGCUGAGACACGGAUGGGAGGAACCACAGCCUUUUUCUGCUGCAUACCUCCUCCCCCUGACCAAGCAACCCUGACAUCUCAACCUGUCCUUUGAUGCCACCCAGCCUGGAAGAAGGAGAUGGCUGGAGUCUAGAAACCUAGUGCAAGAUGAAAAUCUGCUCUGCCACAGGCACAACACCGUGGUUCCAAGGAAGCAGAGAAAGGUGGAGAGAAGUUCAGUGGCCAGCCCUGUUUGGAGGUAAAUGUGAGUGAGAGUCCCUGAGUAGCCUUAGAUGAACAAGAAGCAACACCCUUAAGAUAAGUGCCUCCGACUUUAAAAUUCAACUGGGCAAAGGCUGCAUGUAGCCAUCCUGGCCACUGAGCCGUCGUGGUCACAGCAACAAUUCAUUGUUCAGCUGCCAGUUGGAUGCCUUGUUGCUCACUGGUGAUGACACCAGGUCUCCAGGGAGCACACUGGCUGUCCAUCAGAAGCCUUUUUCUGGCAGCAGUGAGCCAUCUCUGCCUCCUCUCUCUUUUAAAGGGGCGGCUUCUGCCUGGGCAAGGGAACUAGGUUUGGGCCACCUUGAUUCUUUCUUUCCAUUUCAAGUGUAAUUCCAGGGCGGUGGAGAAAUUAGAGAAGUACAAGGUAGGUUACUGUGGGUGUUUCUCAAGAUCCCAGCUUCAGCUCACUCCUGACAAUAAAAUCUUGCCAAUCAAGACGUGGAUCAAAAUAAAGAUGGAUCUAAAAAUUAAAAUCCGGUGGAUAUAAAAAAAUUUCACUAAAUGUUUCUAGUGGAUCUAAAAAAAUUACAUUUUAAAAAUCUUUGGUAUAUAAAAUUGCUGGUAAAUACUAAACAGGCUUAAAUAUAAAAUGAGGAAAAAUAACUGAGAAUUAUCAGUUAUUUCCAUCUUCCUUACUAAGAAAUACUAAUUUGAUUGAAGCCAUCAAAUGUGCCUAGUUAAAAAAAAAAUUCCACAUUUCUUAGCUUCUGUUGCAGCUAGGGGUGGCAUAUAACACAGUUAUGGUCAAUGAAAUACAGACUAGGAAUUCACAGAAAACUUUCCUUUCCUGAUUUAGUCAUUCUCUCCUUUUUCCUGGGUGGAGUAAGAACAUGAUGGCUGGAGCUGCAGCAGCUGUUUUGCAAUCAUAAGGAAAAUCCCAGGAGAAUUAACAGCCCCUUCAACCGUGAUAUCUUUGAAGCACUGAAAUGGUGACGGCAACUGCCUAACUCUUCACUACUUGUUUAUUUAAGACACUAGCUUCUCAGGCUUUCUGUAAUUCACGGCUAAAAGCAAUCUUUUUUUUUUUUUUUUUUUUUUUGAGAUGGAAUUUCCGUCUUGUUGCCCAAGCUGGAGUGCAAUGGUGUAAUCUCGGCUCACUGCAACCUAUGACUCCCGAGUUCA